UUUUAGGAUUUUAAUUUGAUUAUAUUUGUAGACUCUGUCUCUCUCUCUCUCUCUCUCUCUCUCUCCUGCAAUCCCUCAUUCUCUCUGAUUUCGCCAUGGAUGGGAGUAAGCAGAGGUUCGAAGCUCUCGGAGAAGCAGAGAGGUAAAGAGAAGACGAUGAAGGAGAAGAAGAUGAUGAUGAUAGUGGCGGUGGCGGGAACGAUGUAGAAUUGGAGGAAGUUGAUGAUGAUGACGGUGGCAGUGGUGAAGUUAGGAGCCAACUCGGUGGGUUAGACUGUUCGUUACCACCUCCAAUCAAAGCACAGUUGGGCGGUUCUCAAUUGGAAACCCUAGCCAACUCCGAUCUUCCAUGCGAUUUUGUUGCUUCUUCUCGCCAUUUCUCGGAGGUGCCAGUGGUUUAUGCUCUUCUAUGGCUGCUGGAUUCGGCUGCAUUCAAGAUGAAAAAAAUAUCAUCAAUAGAUAUCCAAGUCAACAGAACUCUGGUUGUGUUUUAGAGAUUGCCUCCCUUUUGAGUGGGAAGUUGGCUUUACAGUUGCCGAAGUUACAGAGCUUGUGAGGAAAAAAA